rnacentral:rRNA from 2 species
CAAAGAUUAAGCCAUGCAUGUCUAAGUACAUACUUUUACAUGGUGAAACCGCGAAUGGCUCAUUAAAUCAGUUAUGGUUCCUUAGAUCGUACAAUCCUACUUGGAUAACUGUGGUAAUUCUAGAGCUAAUACAUGAAACUGACGCUCCGACCCUCUGGGAAAGAGCGCGUUUAUUAGAACAAGACCAGUCGGGGUUCUGCCCCGUACGAUUGGUGAUACUGGAUAACUUUGUGCAGAUCGCACGGCCUCGCGCCGGCGACGUAUCUUUCAAAUGUCUGCCCUAUCAACUGUCGAUGGUACGUGAUAUGCCUACCAUGGUUGUAACGGGUAACGGGGAAUCAGGGUUCGAUUCCGGAGAGGGAGCAUGAGAAACGGCUACCACAUCC